rnacentral:rRNA from 1 species
UACGGAAUGUGCAAACGUUAUUCGGAAUUACUGGGCGUAAAGCGUGCGUAGACGGUUAUUUAAGUCGGAUGUGAAAGCCCCGGGCUCAACCUGGGAAUUGCAUUCGAGACUGAAUAGCUAGGGUACGGUAGAGGGAAGUGGAAUUUCCGGUGUAGCGGUGAAAUGCGUAGAUAUCGGAAGGAACAUCGGUGGCGAAGGCGGCUUCCUGGACCGACACUGACGCUGAGGCGCGAAAGCUAGGGGAGCAAACGGG